AUACAGCGUGGUAGGUGCCAUGCUAGAGAUGCAUAGAAGAAACCCAGACUUGGCGGCUGAAGGGCACAGGGUGGAAGGCGGUAGAGAGACAAGGAAGGUUGCACAGAAAUAACAUUUGACGUAGGAACUAAGCGCACGAAGGGAAGCCGGCUGUGCGGUGACCGGAGUUGCAGGUUACCAAUCUUGCUGAGGGGGGCUCCACCGGACGCCGGCCUACGGGUCGUAGGCGUGUGUGGCGUGAAGGGGGAAGAGGACGGGAGAGGGUUGGCUGGGAGGAACCCGGAGCUCCAUCUGGUGGGUGGACGGAAACCGCAGGGGGGCGCUACUUGCACUUCGCGCUCAAGCGACCGGAUCUUCAAACCAUGGGAGUGGUGCGGCGGCUAGAGUCCCUGGACUCCUCAACCUAGGGAGCUACUCGCGAGAUGCCUACGACUUGUAACGGGCUGCCUGGUAAAAUGAGUCUAUGGAAACGGUUGCCAGGGCCGGCUAACAGCGGCUCCCGGAAGUCCUUUGAUGCUUUGUUAACAGUGAAGCUACUGGACCAAUGAGGUGCUUCUUCCGGUUUUGUCCGCGCUCGCCUAAUUCUUCUUUAUCAAGGUUGCCUUUGACCCCGGAAAAGAGAUCUUCUGGGUUCCUCUCUCCCCAAGAUGGCUGCUGAGGACGAGUUACAGCUGCCGCGGCUCCCCGAGCUGUUCGAAACUGGUAAACAGUUACUGGACGAAGUAGAAGUAGCGACUGAACCCGCCGGUUCCCGGAUAGUCCAGGAGAAGGUGUUCAAGGGCUUGGACCUCCUUGAGAAGGCUGCCGAAAUGUUAUCGCAGCUCGACUUGUUCAGCCGAAAUGAAGAUUUGGAAGAGAUUGCUUCCACCGACCUGAAGUACCUUUUGGUGCCAGCGUUUCAAGGAGCCCUCACCAUGAAACAAGUCAACCCCAGCAAGCGUCUAGAUCAUUUGCAGCGGGCUCGAGAACACUUUAUAAACUACUUAACUCAGUGCCAUUGCUAUCAUGUGGCAGAGUUUGAGCUGCCCAAAACCAUGAACAACUCUGCUGAAAAUCACACUGCCAAUUCCUCCAUGGCUUAUCCUAGUCUCGUUGCUAUGGCAUCUCAAAGACAGGCUAAAAUACAGAGAUACAAGCAGAAGAAGGAGUUGGAGCAUAGGUUGUCUGCAAUGAAAUCUGCUGUGGAAAGUGGUCAAGCAGAUGAUGAGCGUGUUCGUGAAUAUUAUCUUCUUCACCUUCAGAGGUGGAUUGAUAUCAGCUUAGAAGAGAUUGAGAGCAUUGACCAGGAAAUAAAGAUCCUGAGAGAAAGAGACUCUUCAAGAGAGGCAUCAACUUCUAACUCAUCUCGCCAGGAGAGGCCUCCAGUGAAACCCUUCAUUCUCACUCGGAACACGGCCCAAGCCAAAGUAUUUGGAGCUGGUUAUCCAAGUCUGGCAACUAUGACGGUGAGUGACUGGUAUGAGCAACAUCGGAAAUAUGGAGCAUUACCGGAUCAGGGAAUAGCCAAGGCAGCACCAGGUCAUCAGAAUGAAGGAAAGUCUGAGAAAGAGUUACAUCCUAGAGGAGACUAAAGAAACAGACAACAAAAUGUACUGUGGUGACCUGGAUAGGAUCCUGGAACGGAAAAGGGACAUUAGAGGAAUUCAGAAAAGCAGCUCAGCAACAGGAAGAACAAGAAGAAAAGGAGGAAGAGGAUGAUGAACAAACACUCCACAGAGCCCGGGAGUGGGAUGACUGGAAGGACACCCAUCCUAGGGGCUAUGGCAACCGACAGAACAUGGGCUGAUCUUCCCACAACACCACAGGACUGCAGGGUGCACAACUCCCCUGCCAAGGAAAACCAUGCAGUCCUCCCCUCCCUGGUCUCCUGCUUCAGCUCUGUACAACGAGGGCAAAGAUGCUAAAUCUUGCUUUGCAUUCAAUAAAGUGUCAAGUGAUUAAGUGUGUAUUUGUACCCUAGAUGAUAUGAACCAGCAGUCUUGUUUUGGCAUCAUCCUCAUCAUGUUGUAUUCCAGUUUCUUAAGUGGAAGGAAAAGAGUGCUGAGAAAUGGCUCUGUAUAAUCUAUGGCUAUCCGAAUUCUCUGAAAAAAUAAUAAAAGUCCCCUCUAUUAUAUGAGCCUGUACAGAAA